rnacentral:rRNA from 1 species
UGGGGGAUAUUGCACAAUGGGCGAAAGCCUGAUGCAGCGACGCCGCGUGGGGGAUGAAGGCCUUCGGGUUGUAAACUUCUUUUGCUCUGAACAAGGCAUGCCUUUGGGGUGUGUUGAGUGUAGGGGUUGAUUAGCGCCGGCUAACUACGUGCCAGCAGCCGCGGUAAUACGUAGGGCGCGAGCGUUGUCCGGAAUUAUUGGGCGUAAAGGGCUUGUAGGUGGCUGGUUGCGUCUGUCGUGAAAGCUCAUGGCUUAACUGUGGGUUUGCGGUGGGUACGGGCUGGCUUGAGUGCAGUAGGGGAGGCUGGAAUUCCUGGUGUAGCGGUGGAAUGCGAAGAUAUCAGGAGGAAUACCGGUGGCGAAGGCGGGUCUCUGGGCUGUUACUGACGCUGAGGAGCGAAAGCGUGGGGAGCGAACAGG